CGAAUUCGCCCUUCCUACGGGAGGCAGCAGUGGGGAAUUUUACGCAAUGGGGGAAACCCUGACGUAGCGACACCGCGUGAGCGAAGAAGCCCUCUGGGGUGUAAAGCUCUGUCAGCAGGGACGAAAAAAAUGACGGUACCUGCAGAGGAAGCAUCGGCUAACUACGUGCCAGCAGCCGCGGUAAGACGUAGGAUGCAAGCGUUGUCCGGAUUCAUUGGGCGUAAAGAGUUCGUAGGCGGUUUGUUAAGUCUGAUGUUAAAGAUCAGGGCCCAACCCUGAGAGUGCAUUGGAUACUGGCAGACUGGAGUGCAGUAGAGGCAAGUGGAAUUCCCAGUGUAGCGGUGAAAUGCGUAGAUAUUGGGAAGAACACCGGUGGCGCAGGCGACUUGCUGGGCUGUAACUGACGCUGAGGAACGAAAGCUAGGGGAGCAAAUGGGAUUAGAUACCCCAGUAGUCCUAGCUGUAAACGAUGGAUACUAGGCGUUGCAGGUAUCGACCCCUGCAGUGCCGCAGUUAACGCGAUAAGUAUCCCGCCUGAGUAGUACGGCCGCAAGGUUGAAACUCAAAGGAAUUGACGG
rnacentral:rRNA from 1 species